rnacentral:lncRNA from 1 species
UAUUGAAAUUGUUUUUAAAAUGGCGAAAUGUGUGAAGAGUUUUGUCAUCAUCUGUUUUCGAAUUUUCCUGUUUUACUGCACAAAAUCAACCAAUUAUUUACAUAAUAUGUACCUGCCGUCUAGUCAUCAGAUUAAAUUUGGACUCCAUUUAAAAAAACCAAUUGCUCAACCCUUCUAUGACUCACACGCUCAGCUUCAUCUGCAUCAUCCUCUCACAUCUUAGACAAAACUGCAAGCUGUUAUGCCCAAAAGUUGUGGCAUUGCAUAUACGGUUACAGGUUCCUUCUUGCCUUACACCUUUAAACACUUGGUGGGGUUGUUGCGUCAUGAAAUUGUAUUGCUGCCAUUUUUUCUGCAUCUCCCACUUCACAGCUAUAAGAAACGAGCCUAAACAACAGAAAAAAGC